AUGGGUGUGCAAAAGAAAAAACUAUAUGCUUGCUUGGAAGCUUAUGUUACAGGUAGACAUCCGACUAAACUGUUAAAUGUUAUUUGUUGUACUCUAUGUUAUACUGGAUCUGCAGAAUUGAUGGUUUGCUUUUCCGAGUAUUGUAAUCAAGAGAGAUUUCUCUACAUCUACACUGUUAUUAUAUCACAAUUCAAAUGUUCAGAAAUCAGACCUCUAAGAUUUUCAUUAUUGAAGGCUUCUACUGAUUGA